GAGUAGUUCAGUAUUCAACUGGCCUUUGUUCCCCUCCCAAGUCCCAUUUACUUCCUGUAGAGCUGUUGCUGGGUAUUCUUUACUUAAGCAGCAGCAAUGCACUACUGGGAGCUAGCUGAGCACAUAAGACACCGCCAGAGCACUGAGAGAUAUCAAGUAUUGAUGUAACUGGAGUGAAUAAGGGAACCUUCUACCUGAGCACAGACAUUGGAGCCUGUUAUCAGCAUGAACUCAUGUGUUAGACAAACACGUCAAUAGUUCAUAUCUAUCCUUCACUACAGGAAGCAACAGAAUCAUACCGCAAACUCCAUUAGUCUUAGACACCAAUGACUAUUCACAAACAUUGGGGAUAUCACAGCAGAUAUUUAAAGGAGAUGGUGAAUUUUCAGGAACAACAUUUAUGAGUUAUCUAGUGAAAUUAUUGUCCCUGAGGAUAAACCACACCUAUUUACUGAGUUUUCAAAACCUAUUAAAGAAAGGAAAAGUCUACAGUCAAGCCAAGUAAUUCAUACA